GAAGCAGGGGAUAACACUUGGAAACAGGUGCUAAUACCGUAUAACAACAAAAUUCCGCAUGGAUUUUGUUUGAAAGGUGGCUUCGGCUAUCACUUCUGGAUGAUCCCGCGGNGUAUUAGUUAGUUGGUGAGGUAAAGGCCCACCAAGACGAUGAUACGUAGCCGACCUGAGAGGGUAAUCGGCCACAUUGGGACUGAGACACGGCCCAAACUCCUACGGGAGGCAGCAGUAGGGAAUCUUCCACAAUGGACGAAAGUCUGAUGGAGCAAUGCCGCGUGAGUGAAGAAGGGUUUCGGCUCGUAAAACUCUGUUGUUAAAGAAGAACACCUUUGAGAGUAACUGUUCAAGGGUUGACGGUAUUUAACCAGAAAGCCACGGCUAANUACGUGCCAGCAGCCGCGGUAAUACGUAGGUGGCAAGCGUUGUCCGGAUUUAUUGGGCGUAAAGCGAGCGCAGGCGGUUUUUUAAGUCUGAUGUGAAAGCCUUCGGCUUAACCGGAGAAGUGCAUCGGAAACUGGGAGACUUGAGUGCAGAAGAGGACAGUGGAACUCCAUGUGUAGCGGUGGAAUGCGUAGAUAUAUGGAAGAACACCAGUGGCGAAGGCGGCUGUCUAGUCUGUAACUGACGNUGAGGCUCGAAAGCAUGGGUAGCGAACAGGAUUAGAUACCCUGGUAGUCCAUGCCGUAAACGAUGAGUGCUAAGUGUUGGAGGGUUUCCGCCCUUCAGUGCUGCAGCUAACGCAUUAAGCACUCCGCCUGGGGAGUACGACCGCAAGGUUGAAACUCAAAGGAAUUGACGGGGGCCCGCACAANCGGUGGAGCAUGUGGUUUAAUUCGAAGCUACGCGAAGAACCUUACCAGGUCUUGACAUCUUCUGCCAAUCUUAGAGAUAAGACGUUCCCUUCGGGGACAGAAUGACAGGUGGUGCAUGGUUGUCGUCAGCUCGUGUCNUGAGAUGUUGGGUUAAGUCCCGCAACGANCGCAACCCUUAUUAUCAGUUGCCAGCAUUCAGUUGGGCACUCUGGUGAGACUGCCGGUGACAAACCGGAGGAAGGUGGGGAUNACGUCAAAUCAUCAUUNCCCCUUAUNACCUGG
rnacentral:rRNA from 1 species